AUGGUUGUGGAAGGCGGAGCAGUGUGGCUUUGGGUGGUGGUGGUGUUUGCGUCAUGGUAUCGUCCGAGGUUGAUUAGUUUGUCGUCUCUGAUCGGUGAUGAGUUGUGGAGUUUGGUGACGGGUCCGUCGAGCGAGAAUGGACUGCCAUCUCCCGGAAAAGGUUUGGAACAACAUGACAGGCUGAUUUUAGAAAGCAACAUAGCAAUGCAGUAA